CAGCAGGAUUUAGACUACCAUAAAGCUGCUAAGUAUUGUGUUGUUCUCCCUGCUCAAAUUAAGGUUGUUUCUUAACUAUACCUGUCUGCUAUACCCCUGUACCAGCCAGGACACUUGGUCUCAUACAU
ensembl:snoRNA SNORA63 Small nucleolar RNA SNORA63